rnacentral:rRNA from 1 species
UGGGGAAUAUUGGACAAUGGGCGCAAGCCUGAUCCAGCCAUGCCGCGUGAGUGAAGAAGGCCUUAGGGUUGUAAAGCUCUUUCAGUCGUGACGAUGAUGACGGUAGCGACAGAAGAAGCCCCGGCUAACUCCGUGCCAGCAGCCGCGGUAAUACGGAGGGGGCAAGCGUUGUUCGGAUUUACUGGGCGUAAAGGGCGCGUAGGCGGGGUAUCCAGUUAGGGGUGAAAGCCCGGGGCUCAACCUCGGAACUGCCUUUAAAACUGAUACUCUAGAGUCCGGAAGAGGGUCGCGGAAUUCCCAGUGUAGAGGUGAAAUUCGUAGAUAUUGGGAAGAACACCGGUGGCGAAGGCGGCGACCUGGUCCGGUACUGACGCUGAGGCGCGAAAGCGUGGGGAGCAAACAGGAUUAGAUACCCCCGUAGUCC